rnacentral:rRNA from 1 species
GUGAACGCUGGCGGUAGGCCUAACACAUGCAAGUCGAACGGCAGCACAGUAAGAGCUUGCUCUUACGGGUGGCGAGUGGCGGGCGGGUGAGGAAUACAUCGGAAUCUACUUUUUCGUGGGGGAUAACGUAGGGAAACUUACGCUAAUACCGCAUACGACCUACGGGUGAAAGCAGGGGAUCUUCGGACCUUGCGCGAUUGAAUGAGCCGAUGUCGGAUUAGCUAGUUGGCGGGGUAAAGGCCCACCAAGGCGACGAUCCGUAGCUGGUCUGAGAGGAUGAUCAGCCACACUGGAACUGAGACACGGUCCAGACUCCUACGGGAGGCAGCAGUGGGGAAUAUUGGACAAUGGGCGCAAGCCUGAUCCAGCCAUACCGCGUGGGUGAAGAAGGCCUUCGGGUUGUAAAGCCCUUUUGUUGGGAAAGAAAAGCAGCAGGUUAAUACCCCGCUGUUCUGACGGUACCCAAAGAAUAAGCACCGGCUAACUUCGUG